GAGGGUAUAGCUCAAAUGGUAGACUGUAUGCUUAGCAUGCAUGAGGUCCUAGGUUCAAUCCCCAGUACCUCCA
rnacentral:tRNA from 1 species